UCUAGUCUUCAGGGCAGGGUGAAAUUCCCGACCGGCGGUAUAGCCCGCGAGCUGCAUUGCAGUUGAUCUGGUGAAAUUCCAGGGCCGACAGUUAAAGUCUGGAUGGGAGAAGAUUAGU
rnacentral:ncRNA from 2 species